rnacentral:rRNA from 1 species
GGUGGGGAUGACGUCAAGUCAUCAUGGCCCUUACGGCCUGGGCUACACACGUGCUACAAUGGUCGGUACAAAGGGUUGCCAAGCCGCGAGGUGGAGCUAAUCCCAUAAAACCGAUCGUAGUCCGGAUCGCAGUCUGCAACUCGACUGCGUGAAGUCGGAAUCGCUAGUAAUCGUGAAUCAGAAUGUCACGGUGAAUACGUUCCCGGGCCAU